CCUGUGCCUAUCUUCUUCCUCCUGUUCCUCUCCCCAUUCCCCUCCUCUCUUGUCAAGAACCCUAGCCGCCGCACUGCUGCUGCUGCUGCUCCACAUCGUCGACCGCACCCCUGCUGCUACACGUCCACGUGCUGCCGCCCCUGCUACUCGAUCCCCGGCGACGCCCCUGCUGCUACUUCUCAUCGUCGGCAGGAGCUCCAGCCGGCGCCGCCCCCACCAGCAAGCGAGCAUGGCGGCGGUGACCAUGCUGGAGGCCACUUGAAUCGCAUCCCCGAGCACCUCUGCCGAAGAUUUGAAGCUCCCCCACUGCAAUGUCAUCCUCGGCCCCGAAAUCUCCGUGAAGUGGCAGCAAUGUUUUUAAUUUACAAAUUUUUGUGGAGGCUUUUUUCUGUACAAGUCCUGAGGGUAGGUAGAAUUAUGUGAAGGGAAGGACUCUGAUGUGGACCGUAGACGUAGAAAAGUUCAGCAUUGAUGCAUUAUCACGACAGCUAGCUAUAGAGUUGAACAUUAGCAGUAAUCAAUUGGUGGCACUCUUGUAUUUUGACAAAUUGUUGGGUGAAGAUGUCAGGCUGUUGCAUGAUGAGCAGCAGUACAUGAUGUUUGAUAUGUAUGCAGCUGAGUUGAAAGUGCCACUUAGUGUGGUAGUGGUGGAUGCAAUUGGAUCUGGUGUACUCAAUUGUGGAGCCAAAAUUGCAGAUUUUGUUCCUAUUAAUGUUGUGCCUGCUGAUGAUCCAUUAGUCAUGGGCACUCAAAAUUGUGCAAAUACGAUCCAGCCGAAUGAUGCACAAGCUUACCACCAGACCAACAGUACUAAUUGUCCAACUAGGCCAACUCAGCCCGCGCCGCCUCCUGUCGUUGAGAGUGCCACAUCAGAGGUUGGCAGUACAAGCCAGCCUAAUAUGCCACAUGCUGACCAACAACAAGAACUUCAAAAUCCUUCCACUGAUCCAUUUUAUUACGAGGAGGAGUAUGUUGGAGUAGAUGAUGAACAUCUAGUAGGUGUUAGCAUUCCUGAACCUACUGUAGUGCAAGCACCGGCUACAACUCCUGAUGAGAAAGCUGAAGACGAGGAGGCCGAAGAUGAUAUGUAUAUCUCUGAUAUUAAGCAUCUUAUCCAGCAGGAGGAAGAGGUUACUGACAUGCCUAUUCAGUACAAUGUGGCAACUGAUCCUUAUAAUGCUGACAUUAAAGUGGGGGUUCUUUUUCCUGACAUUGUAACCUUUAGGAAAGCAAUAAGACAUCAUGCUGUCGUAAAGGACUUUGAGCUUGCUAAAGUGAAGACUGAUCCUACUAGAUUCAUCGCUAAUUGCUCAUAUGCUAGUUGUCUUUGGCGCAUCCACGCAUCGAGGUUGCGUGAUCAACAAGUUGUCAUGAUAAAGAAGAUUCCCUAUGAGCACAAUUGCCCUACUACAAAGCUUGUAGACAGCAAAAUGGCAACACAAAGUUGGAUUGCAGAGAAGCUUGUUGAUUGGGUGAAGAAAAACCCAGGAGAGGGAGCAAAGGCAGCGAAAACUAAGUUGGAGGGUGAGUUCAACUUCAAGCUGAAGUAUUCCAAGGCUUGGGAAGGUAUGAAGAUAGCUCUAGAAGAAAUGCAUGGUAAAUAUGAGGAUAGUUUUCAGUUGUUGUUCAAUUGGAAACAGAGAUAGAGAAGAGAUGCCCUGGUAGUAUUGUUGAAAUUGAUUUGGUCAAGGAAAAAGAUAAGUACUAUUUCAACAGAGUCUUUGUAGCUUUCAAACCCUGCAUAGAUGGUUUCUUAGCUGGAUGUCGACCAUACAUAGGAGUAGAUGCAACUGCACUGAAUGGCAAAUAUGUUGGUCAAUUAGCAUCAGCGACCGGAGUUGAUGGACACAUCUGGUUGUAUUAUGUAGCAUAUGCCAUAUUUGAUUCAGAGACUAUAGAAAACUGGGUAUGGUUUAUGCAGCAGCUGCGCAGGGCUGUAGGAUGUCCACCAGGGCUAGUAAUUUCCAGUGAUGCUUGCAAGGGACUAGAAAACGCAGUUGAAAAAAUAUUCCCCAAGUGCGAAUAUAGGGAGUGUAUGCGGCAUUUAUACCAAAAAUUUAUGAAGAAAUUCCAUGGUAAAGUGUACACAGACCAUUUGUACCCAGCUACUAGGGGAUUCACAGAGCACAAAUUUAGAUGGCAUAUGCAGAAGAUAUUUGAGGCAGAUCCAAGUGCCAUAGAGUACCUUGAGAAACACCAUAAUAGGAUUUGGUAUAGGUGCGCCUUUGGUGUGGAUAGCAAGGUUGAUUAUCUCACUAACAAUAUUUCUGAAAGUUUUAACAAGCAAAUCAAAGAUUUGAAAGGGUUAAAUUUGUGUGAGCUACUGGAUAGGAUUAGAGAGCUAAUAAUGGUGAAGUUUAAUGUGAGGAGGCAUGUUGGUAGGUAUUUGGCUGGCAUAAUCUUGCCCGAGGUUCUCAAGAGGCUCAAUGCACUCAGUAAAACAAUUGGGCCCCAUAAAGUGGCGUGGAAUACAGAACAUGAGGCAGAGAUUACACUAUAUGAUGUGAAAGCAUAUGACCAGAGGCACACGGUUGAUCUAAAACAGAGAACAUGCUCAUGCCGGAAAUUUCAAGUUUCUGGGCAGCCAUGCAUUCAUGCAUUGACUUUCAUUUGUUCAAUGAGGGGUGCAAAUAUUGAGUCAUUUGUUGAUGAGUAUUACAGUGUGGCAAAAUUUCAGGCUGCUUAUGCUGGGGCAUUGCCAACCAUGACAGAUAGGACACAAUGGGAGCAAGUUGACCUUGGAUUCAUGGUUUACCCACCUGUACAAGAGAAAAGGCCACCUGGAAGGCCUAGGGUUCAAAGAAUUAGAGGAUUUCUUGAAGACCCAGGCAGGAAAGUAGUGAAAUGCAAAAAAUGCGGUCGAAAUGGCCACUUUGCGAAAACUUGCAAUCUCCCUCCUUUAGUUAUUGCAGAACCACCACCAAUGGAGCACACUCCUACUAAAAGAGAGAGAGAUGCUACUGCAACCGAGGAGGAAGUUGUGGAAGAUGACGAACCUAUCGCAAAUUAUAAAAGACAGAAGACUCCUGUCAAGAAGAACACGCCGGUCAAGAAGACAACGCCGGUCAAGAAGAAGACGCCGGCUAAGAAAAUGACGCCGGUCAAGAAGAAAAAGACAUCGGUCAAGAAGACACCGGUUAAGAAGAAGACGCCAGUCAAGAAGAAGACUCCGGUCAAGGGGAAAGGCAAGCAAAGUGAAGGUACCGGAAAGGAGAAAACUGCAGGGAAGAAGAGCAAAAAACUGCAGUUUGUUACACCAUCUACUAGUGAUGCUGUUCUCAAGCCAACUCUAGGAACUAAGAAAAAUUUGCUUUAUUGGCUUGGGGGCUGAAUUUGCUUGAACUGGACCAUGUAUGUGUAUGUGAUGCUCAAACUGGAGCUUCAACCUCUGUGUGUGUGUGUGUGUGUGUGAUGCUCAAACUGGAGCUUGAACUUGUAUGUGUGAGGCUCAAACUAGAGCUUGAACUUGUGUGUGGGAUGCUCCAACAUGAGCUUUAAGACUAUUUUGGUUCAUCUACUGUUGAUGCUCAAAAUGGAGCUUUAAGACUAUUUGGUUUCAUCUUUUAUUGAUGCAAAAUAUUAU
rnacentral:rRNA from 1 species